CACGUAGGGUGCGAGCGUUGUCCGGAAUUAUUGGGCGUAAAGAGCUCGUAGGCGGUGUGUCGCGUCGGCCGUGAAAACCUGCAGCUUAACUGUGGGCUUGCGGUCGAUACGGGCAUCACUGGAGUUCGGCAGGGGAGACUGGAAUUCCUGGUGAUAGCGGUGAAAUGCGCAGAUAUCAGGAGGAACACCGGUGGCGAAGGCGGGUCUCUGGGCCGAUAACUGAC
rnacentral:rRNA from 1 species